rnacentral:lncRNA from 1 species
UGGAUCUGAAGAUUCAAAGAAUUGCCAUGGCUCAAAAGUAGACAUUUUGGUAAAUGUGAAGAAGUGAGAUUCAAUGAAGAUGAUAAGAAAUGAAAGGUGUUACCAAAAGCUUCUUCUACCGCCAGAAUUGGCAGUUUCCCUCGCUGGAUUCUUGGGACCUGAUCCAGGCAGCACACUCGACACACUCAGCGAUUCAGCUCUACAGUAUGCACUCUGGGAUCUCCCAUUUGCUAAGGAAAAAUCUUAGCUUUGAGAAAGUGGCAAGAGAUCCCCUCUUGAGGAGACUCCACAGGAACACCAGAGAUGAUAGUGACACACGACAACUGAAGGUCAGGCCACCUGGUUUCGUCUGGGAAAAAGUUACUUUCUUCGCUUUAUCUUCUUGAAUUAAAAUAAGGUAUGAGAAUCUGACCCUACAUAUCAUAGGUGACUUAUACAGUGUUCUUGGUGGGGGGAAUUCUGAGUGAGUCUGUUCCCCACUGAGGCUUGAUUUAAG